AAGAGCCUAACUUAUUUCCUACUCACUAUUUCUCCUGUAGCUCUUCAGGCAAGCUGAAUUGAACUCAUGUUGCUUUUUCCCUUUUUGUUUCAGCUCAGUUUGCAGGGGAAGACCCAGUGGUAGCUUUGGAAGCUGCUUUGCAGUUUGAAGACACCCGGGAAUCCAUGCACGCAUUUUGUGUUGGCCAGUAUUUGGAGAAUGGCUUCAGUCAUCCAUCUUCUCUGGAGGCCUGCAGACCAGCCAGAUCCACUACAGCUACAACGAGGAGAAAGACGAGGACCACUGCAGCUCCCCAGGGGGCACACCUGCCAGCAAAUCUCGACUCUGCUCCCACAGACGGGCCCUGGGGGACCAUUCCCAGGCAUUUCUGCAAGCCAUUGCAGACAACAACAUUCAGGAUCACAACGUGAAGGACUUUUUGUGUCAAAUAGAAAGGUACUGUAGGCAGUGCCAUUUGACCACACCGAUCAUGUUUCCCCCCGAGCAUCCCGUGGAAGAGGUCGGUCGCUUGCUGUUAUGUUGCCUCUUAAAACAUGAAGAUUUAGG
rnacentral:lncRNA from 1 species